GACGAAGGAUGCAAGCGUUAUCCGGAUUCAUUGGGUUUAAAGGGUGCGUAGGCGGACCAGUAAGUCAGUGGUGAAAUCUCUUUGCUUAACAAAGAAACUGCCAUUGAUACUGCUAGUCUAGAGUAUAGAUGACGUUGGCGGAAUAUGACAUGUAGUGGUGAAAUACUUAGAUAUGUCAUAGAACACCGAUUGCGAAGGCAGCUAACGAAACUAUAACUGACGCUGAGGCACGAAAAGUGCGGGGAUCAAACAGG
rnacentral:rRNA from 1 species